rnacentral:rRNA from 1 species
GUGAGGCUUGACGUUACUCACAGAAGAAGCACCGGCUAACUCCGUGCCAGCAGCCGCGGUAAUACGGAGGGUGCAAGCGUUAAUCGGAAUUACUGGGCGUAAAGCGCGCGUAGGUGGUUUGAUAAGCGAGAUGUGAAAGCCCCGGGCUUAACCUGGGAACGGCAUUUCGAACUGUCAGGCUAGAGUGUGGUAGAGGGUAGUGGAAUUUCCUGUGUAGCGGUGAAAUGCGUAGAUAUAGGAAGGAACAUCAGUGGCGAAGGCGGCUACCUGGACCAACACUGA